AUGAACGCUGGCGGCGUGCUUAACACAUGCAAGUCGAACGAGAAGUGAAGACGGAAACCUUCGGGCGGCAGGCUUUAUUUCGAGUGGCGGACGGGUGAGUAACGCGUGGGUAACCUGCCUCAUACAGGGGGAUAACAGUUGGAAACGACUGUUAAUACCGCAUAAGACCACAGCACCGCAUGGUGCGGGGGUAAAAACUCCGGUGGUAUGAGAUGGACCCGCGUUCGAUUAGCCAGUUGGCGGGGUAACGGCCCACCAAAGCGACGAUCGAUAGCCGAUCUGAGAGGAUGACCGGCCACAUUGGGACUGAGACACGGCCCAAACUCCUACGGGAGGCAGCAGUGGGGAAUAUUGCACAAUGGGGGAAACCCUGAUGCAGCGACGCCGCGUGAGUGAAGAAGUAUUUCGGUAUGUAAAGCUCUAUCAGCAGGGAAGAAAAUGACGGUACCUGAGGAAGAAGCCCCGGCUAACUACGUG
rnacentral:rRNA from 1 species